GGCGAACGCUGGCGGCGUGCCUAAUACAUGCAAGUAGAACGCUGAGGACUGGUGCUUGCACUGGUCUAAGGAGUUGCGAACGGGUGAGUAACGCGUAGGUAACCUACCUCAUAGCGGGGGAUAACUAUUGGAAACGAUAGCUAAUACCGCAUGACAAUAGGGUACACAUGUACCCUAUUUAAAAGGGGCAAAUGCUUCACUAUGAGAUGGACCUGCGUUGUAUUAGCUAGUUGGUAAGGUAACGGCUUACCAAGGCGACGAUCAGUAGCCGGUCUGAGAGGAUGAACGGCCACAUUGGGACUGAGAUACGGCCCAG
rnacentral:rRNA from 1 species